ensembl:lncRNA novel transcript
AGGGCUGUAGUGACUCCAGGGAACGUGUGAACAGUGGUUAUCAGCGGAUCACAGAAUGCAGGAAAAUAUCCAUUUCUAUCUUUAAACUGAUCUGAAAAUUUAGGACCAGAGUGGAAGUCAACACUGGCCCUGCGUGUAGUUUCAGAAAAGGCGCCUCCUGGACCUGCCGCACUUUGAUACCCUCCUUUGCACACCCCAUUUCAUUUGUCCUGCUAUCAACUUGACAUCAGCAUUUCCACACCCAAAUAUCCCUUAUAUGCUCUUCUGACAGUGAGGAUGUUUGCUCCCUACUGAAACAGAGUUUAGAACUCACACCUUGUUAACAGGUUGUCAAAAUUCGUUUUGCUAGUCUAUUGUUUUUCUUCUAAUACAAAAAGAUUUGCUGA